AUUGAACGCUGGCGGCAGGCUUAACACAUGCAAGUCGAGCGGGGUGAGGUGCUUCGGUACUGAUCCUAGCGGCGGACGGGUGAGUAAUGCUUAGGAAUCUGCCAUUUAGUGGGGGACAACAUUCCGAAAGGGAUGCUAAUACCGCAUACGUCCUACGGGAGAAAGCAGGGGAUCUUCGGACCUUGCGCUAAAUGAUGAGCCUAAGUCGGAUUAGCUAGUUGGUGGGGUAAAGGCCUACCAAGGCGACGAUCUGUAGCGGGUCUGAGAGGAUGAUCCGCCACACUGGGACUGAGACACGGCCCAGACUCCUACGGGAGGCAGCAGUGGGGAAUAUUGGACAAUGGGCGGAAGCCUGAUCCAGCCAUGCCGCGUGUGUGAAGAAGGCCUUUUGGUUGUAAAGCACUUUAAGCGAGGAGGAGGCUACCUGGAUUAAUACUCUAGGAUAGUGGACGUUACUCGCAGAAUAAGCACCGGCUAACUCUGUGCCAGCAGCCGCCGUAA
rnacentral:rRNA from 1 species